AACUUUGAUGAAGACACUUUUCUCAUUUGGAGCUCACAUAAAAAGUUAGCCAAGGUGGAAUAAUUGAACAUAUGGCUUGACACUUAGAAAAUAUUUUGACAUGUUGAAAUUUCCAAACUUCCACCUCAAAAUUGAGCUCACAUAAAAAGUUAGCCAAGGUGGAAUAAUUGAACAUAUGGCUUGACACUUAGAAAAUAUUUUGACAUGUUGAAAUUUCCAAACUUCCACCUCAAAAUUCACCAUGAUACAAGUUCCAAAUGUAAACAUGUU
rnacentral:lncRNA from 1 species